ACUUGGCUGGCUCAGUCAGUGAGACCAUGAGACUCCUGAUCUUAGGGUUGUGGGUUCAAGCCCCAUGUUAGGCA
rnacentral:tRNA from 1 species